rnacentral:rRNA from 1 species
GACAGAGGUGCCAAGCGUUUAGGCGGAAUCACUGGGCUUAAAGCGUGUGUAGGCGGAAUGGUAAGUACCUUGUGAAAUCCCACGGCUCAACCGUGGAACUGCUUGGUAUACUGCUUUUCUUGAGCCACUUAGGGCUGUCGGAACAAACGGUGGAGCGGUGAAAUGCGUAGAUAUCGUUUGGAACGCCAACGGUGAAAACAGACAGCUGGGAGUGUGCUGACGCUGAGACACGAAAGCCAGGGGAGCGAACGGG